rnacentral:rRNA from 1 species
GACGAACGCUGGCGGCGUGCUUAACACAUGCAAGUCGAACGGAAAGGCCCUGCUUUUGUGGGGUGCUCGAGUGGCGAACGGGUGAGUAACACGUGAGUAACCUGCCCUUGACUUUGGGAUAACUUCAGGAAACUGGGGCUAAUACCGGAUAGGAGCUCCUGCUGCAUGGUGGGGGUUGGAAAGUUUCGGCGGUUGGGGAUGGACUCGCGGCUUAUCAGCUUGUUGGUGGGGUAGUGGCUUACCAAGGCUUUGACGGGUAGCCGGCCUGAGAGGGUGACCGGCCACAUUGGGACUGAGAUACGGCCCAGACUCCUACGGGGGGGAGCAGUGGGGAAUAUUGCACAAUGGGCGGAAGCCUGAUGCAGCAACGCCGCGUGCGGGAUGACGGCCUUCGGGUUGUAAACCGCUUUCGCCUGUGACGAAGCGUGAGUGACGGUAAUGGGUAAAGAAGCACCGGCUAACUACGUG